rnacentral:rRNA from 1 species
UACGAAGGGGGCUAGCGUUGCUCGGAAUUACUGGGCGUAAAGGGCGCGUAGGCGGCACUGUUAGUCAGGCGUGAAAGUCCUGGGCUCAACCUGGGAACUGCGCUUGAUACGGCAGAGCUAGAGGAUGGAAGAGGCUCGCGGAAUUCCCAGUGUAGAGGUGAAAUUCGUAGAUAUUGGGAAGAACACCGGUGGCGAAGGCGGCGAGCUGGUCCAUUACUGACGCUGAGCGCGACAGCGUGGGAGCAACAGG